rnacentral:rRNA from 1 species
AAUGAACGUUGGCGGCAUGGAUUAGGCAUGCAAGUCGAGCGAGAAGUGUAGCAAUACAUGGAAAGCGGCGGAAGGGAGAGUAAUACGUGGGAAUCUGCCCUUAGACCUGGGAUAGCAGCGGGAAACUGCUGGUAAUACCAGAUAAUGUCUAUGGACCAAAGGUGUGAUUCCGUCUAGGGAUGAGCCCACGUCCUAUUAGCUAGUUGGUAGGGUAAUGGCCUACCAAGGCGAUGAUGGGUAGCGGGUGUGAGAGCAUGACCCGCCUCACUGGGACUGAGACACUGCCCAGACACCUACGGGUGGCUGCAGUCGAGAAUCUUCGGCAAUGGGCGCAAGCCUGACCGAGCGAUGCCGCGUGCGGGAUGAAGGCCUUCGGGUUGUAAACCGCUGUCGAGGGGGAGCAACUUCCAUAGAGUUAUCUUUAUGGAUUGAGUGAUCUCUGGAGGGAGGACGGGCUAAGUUCGUGCCAGCAGCCGCCGUAAGAC